GAUGAACGCUGGCGGCGUGCCUAAUACAUGCAAGUCGAGCGAAUGGAUUAAGAGCUUGCUCUUAUGAAGUUAGCGGCGGACGGGUGAGUAACACGUGGGUCACCUGCCCAUAAGACUGGGAUAACUCCGUGAAACCGGGGCUAAUACCGGAUAACAUUUUGAACCGCAUGGUUCGAUAUUGAAAGGCGGCUUCGGCUGUCACUUAUGGAUGGACCCGGGUCGCAUUAGCUAGUUGGUGAGGUAACGGCUCACCAAGGCAACGAAGCGUAGCCGACCUGAGAGGGUGAUCGGCCACACUGGGACUGAGACACGGCCCAGACUCCUACGGGAGGCAGCAGUAGGGAAUCUUCCGCAAUGGACGAAAGUCUGACGGAGCAACGCCGCGUGAGUGAUGAAGGCUUUCGGGUCGUAAAACUCUGUUGUUAGGGAAGAACAAGUGCUAGUUGAAUAAGCUGGCACCUUGACGGUACCUAACCAGAAAGCCACGGCUAACUACGUGCCAGCCGCCGCGGUAA
rnacentral:rRNA from 1 species